CCUACGGGAGGCAGCAGUGGGGAAUAUUGGGCAAUGGGCGCAAGCCUGACCCAGCAACGCCGCGUGAAGGAAGAAGGCUUUCGGGUUGUACACUUCUUUUAAGAGGGAAGAGCAGAAGACGGUACCUCUUGAAUAAGCCACGGCUAACUACGUGCCAGCAGCCGCGGUAAUACGUAGGUGGCAAGCGUUGUCCGGAUUUACUGGGUGGAAAGGGCGUGCAGCCGGGAAGACAAGUCAGAUGUGAAAUCCCGCGGCUCAACCUCGGAACUGCAUUUGAAACUGUUUUUCUUGAGGACCGGAGAGGUCAUCGGAAUUCCGUGGGUAGCGGUGAAAUGCGUAGAUAUAAGGAAGAACACCAGUGGCGAAGGCGGAUGACUGGACGGCAACUGACGGUGAGGCGCGAAAGCGUGGGGAGCAAACAGGAUUAGAUACCCGGGUAGUC
rnacentral:rRNA from 1 species